GACGAACGCUGGCGGCGUGCUUAACACAUGCAAGUCGAACGGAAAGGCCCUGCUUGCAGGGUACUCGAGUGGCGAACGGGUGAGUAACACGUGGGUGAUCUGCCCUGCACUUCGGGAUAAGCCUGGGAAACUGGGUCUAAUACCGGAUAGGAGCCAUUUUUAGUGUGAUGGUUGGAAAGUUUUUUCGGUGUAGGAUGAGCUGGCGGCCUAUCAGCUUGUUGGUGGGGUAAUGGCCUACCAAGGCGGCGACGGGUAGCCGGACUGAGAGGGUGGACGGCCACAUUGACACUGAGAGGCGGCACAGACUCCGACGGGAGGGAGAAGGGGGGAAGACUGCAGGAGGGGCGCAGGGCUAAUGCAGCGGGGCCGCGGGGGGGAUGACGGCGUUCGGGUUGGAAACUCCUUGCGCUAGGGACGAUGCAUGUUGUGACGGUACCUAGAUAAGAAGCACCGGCUAACUACGUG
rnacentral:rRNA from 1 species